rnacentral:lncRNA from 1 species
CAUGAUUUGAGCUUGGGAGGCGAAAUGUGCGUAGGAGAGCUGAGUUUCUGCCAUUCUGGGAGAAACCAGGUUCGGCCGCCGAAGGGACUUUCGGCCGCCGAACCCCCUUGUGGAGGCAGGCCUUUCGACUGCCGAAGUUGCCCCCGAAAGGAGACUUUCGUCUCUGUCUGGGACUUUCGGCCGCCGAAGGUGCCGCCGAACAUGCAUGAGUUUCGUCUCUGUCUGGGAG